CACACACACACACACAUACACACGUACGCAGACACAAGUGAGAGUGCGCUCCUAACUCCUAGAACCCUUAUGCUGACACCUGUGUAUGCUGGAAACAGAUCAGUGUUACUAGAAGGCAACACUGAAGUUGAAAACAAUAUGGUGUCCUACACCUUCAGUGUCUGUGAAGCUUCAAGACUAUUAUACUUCCUGGCAGUAUGUUCCAGAAGGACUGUAGCUCAAGGCUAUGCAAGCCUUUAGUAUCCCCUUCCGAAGACGUGCAUCAGGAUCCUAAGACGUUUGCCAAUGUGCUUCCUAGUGAAGAAAUAAGACAAGUGA
rnacentral:lncRNA from 1 species